rnacentral:rRNA from 1 species
AGAGUUUGAUCCUUGCUCAGGACGAACGCUGGCGGCGUGCCUAAUACAUGCAAGUCGAACGAACGGAGGAAGAGCUUGCUCUUCCAAAGUUAGUGGCGGACGGGUGAGUAACACGUGGGCAACCUGCCUGUAAGUUGGGGAUAACUCCGGGAAACCGGGGCUAAUACCGAAUGAUAAAGUGUGGCGCAUGCCACGCUUUUGAAAGAUGGUUUCGGCUAUCGCUUACAGAUGGGCCCGCGGUGCAUUAGCUAGUUGGUAGGGUAAUGGCCUACCAAGGCAACGAUGCAUAGCCGACCUGAGAGGGUGAUCGGCCACACUGGGACUGAUACACGGCCCAGACUCCUACGGGAGGCAGCAGUAGGGAAUCUUCCGCAAUGGACGAAAGUCUGACGGAGCAACGCCGCGUGUAUGAAGAAGGUUUUCGGAUCGUAAAGUACUGUUGUUAGAGAAGAACAAGGAUAAGAGUAACUGCUUGUCCCUUGACGGUAUCUAACCAGAAAGCCACGGCUAACUACAUGCGACAGCC